UACGUAGGUGACAAGCGUUGUCCGGAUUUACUGGGCGUAAAGCGCGCGUAGGCGGCUUUGUAAGUUAGAGGUGAAAGCCCGGGGCUCAACCCCGGAACUGCCUUUAAGACUGCAUCGCUAGAAUCAUGGAGAGGUGAGUGGAAUUCCGAGUGUAGAGGUGAAAAUUCGUAGAUAUUCGGAAGAACACCAGUGGCGAAGGCGACUCACUGGACAUGUAUUGACGCUGAGGUGCGAAAGCGUGGGGAGCAAACAGG
rnacentral:rRNA from 1 species